GCCAUGGAUGCAGCAUGUGAUGACAUCACAGCAGAGUGCUGCAGAGGGAUUCACCACUCGAGGAGAAACUUUCCUCGCUGCGUUGCAAGAGAUGAUAUUGGUUGUGAUGUAGAUGAAACUAUGUGGCCAGACAGAGAGGAACGACUGGAUGUGCAUGAAUGAUUUACAGUUCUGUGUAUGUUGUACGUUCAGUUUCUAAUAUGUACUGCAUAUCUUUCUAUAUAUGAAAGAACAUAUGCAGUAAAAAUGUGAAACACACCCAUUCAGUUACCUCACUAAAUACAGUCAUGUGUAACUUUACUGCAGUUUUCAAAUGGCUGUGUAAAUAGUGUAUAGUGCUGUCUUGACUAUUUUCAGGUAGUGUUACUAAGAGCUGACUUUUUUGCAUUGGAAAACACACAGAGAGUAAACUGUCAUAAUGUAAACAAAUGACGAAGCCAUUCGACUGUCUUGUUCAUAAAUGACUGACUGUUUCACCAUUGCUGAAAACUAACCUGGGCUAACUUUUUUAAACUUGCAGGUGGCGCAAAAUGUGAUAAAUUAGAGAAAACUUCUGGCAGUGAUGCAGAGCUUCCAUACCCUCUUAUCUGCAACAGUUCAUGGUAUCUGGAGAUAAAUUCAGCUGACUGUGGCUACUGUCGCGGAGGAAAUUUUAACAAUGAUUGCACUAAAACACAAAUGAGUUUCAGCAAUGGAUUAAUCAAGAUUCUGAAUCUGACAACAUCAUCUAACGGGCUGUAUAAGUUAUGUAAACGGAAUAGUCCGUGUUUCAAAUGUUGGCGGCUUGUUGUCAAUCCAAAAGAAACCAAGAACCAGACCCAAGACCGCCAAACUCCACUCGACUCAUCAAAUAACAGUUCUAUGACUGGUGGGAUAAUAGGUGUUGUUGUUGCUGUUCUUCUUGUCAUCGUCCCCAUAUUGAUUUGGAAAUGGUAAAAAGAUCAACAGCCACAGCAAAACCCACAACAACCAAAUGGUGCUGAGGAACAUGAGCUGGAGCCUCUCAAUGAGUCUGAACAACACUAGGAAGAUGAAAGUGCCAGCUGAAAAAAGAUGACUCUCUUUUUUUUGUCUUUCUUAAUUUGGUCAGGAAUCUCUUUCAUUAUAUUUGUGCAGCUUUAGACAUAACAGAGAAGUUGUUUGUGUGUGUUUUUUAAACAAUGUUCAUAUCUCAGGCUUGGAAGCUGUGAACCAUCUGCUGUGUGGCCAGUUUACGCUUAAACACUAAUUCACCGAUUAUUCUCCUAAAAAGAUAUGCUAUGCUAUUCAAAUGUGUGGGCGGGGUUCACAUGAUCCGUGCACAUGAAGUAGAAUUAGUUUACUAAUUACUAAUUCAUUGAUAACUAAAUGGCAGUUAUUGAUGGACUUUAAACAUCAUGCAAUGUGUUUUUUGUUCUCUGUAGGUGUUGAAUACCACAUAAUGAAGUGUUGCUAUACCAGGUUAAUCAGUUUAGUUCCUUUACAAAAUGUGAAGUACAGUCGUACUGGCAAAGGGAGACAGCUUUGGUAGAAUAUUUGCAGUUUGAUAGGAAGUACCUGAGAUGGAAAGUUUUCAUCCAGCAGAUAAACAUCAGCUUUUCUUUUGCAUAAAUGACUCAUAUUCUCAGCAAUCUGCAUCAAUGACAGCUUUCCACUAGGUCCUUGUUUUGGCUUUUGUUUUUCCACAAUGUGAAGGAACUAAACAGUCAGGGUUAGUGUUAGGAGUCUCUAAUUUGAGCAAAAACCAAAUAAGAUUUAGGAUUGGGGGUGUGAAAGUAUGUAAUUGAUGGCUCACCCAGGUAAUUCAUGCAUCAGUUCAUGUCACUCUUAAAUUUCAUGACCUGGUGUGUCUGGUUAAAAAUCAGGGGAAUUAGUUUGGUUACUCAAGAUUGAGAAACUACGAGUAGUGGACCUCAUCAUCAGUAGUAGUGAUUCCCAUGAUUACUGCACUUUUAAUUUGUUAUUACUAGAGGGUCUUCAGGGUCAUCCCCAAACUACAGGCAAGGAAAAGAUGGCGAAUAAGAGCUUAGGUUUAGGACUGGUUGGAAUGAAAGCUGAAAUAAACUGGUUGUUGCUGCUGCCUUUUAAAGUUUACACUGAGCCACGGUUUGGAGGGGAGACCCUCAGAGAAGGAUGUUUUAGAUUUACACUCAUGAAUCAUUUAAGCUUCUUACUGUAACUCCUCUUGAUUGUAAUUACCACUAGUCCAUUGAGCCAACAUGUUUGAACAAGCUCAGGAUGUGAUGUAGCUCCAGGUUGUUUCUGGCAUCAUUUCAGGCUGAACUGGUUUUACAACAGAUCUUGAUUAUAUCUUGAUACUACGAAUCUCUAAAGUCUAAAUAACCCAGCUCUAUUCUGAAGUCUUUGUUAUGGCAGUGAUAUGUAACCACUUUCAGUAAUCGUCCCAUUGUGACUGAACCAAAGCUCUGUAAAAACAGAUAUGUAGGAGAUAAACAUGAACUUUUGAAUUUCUUGGUACUGUAUCAGCAUUUUUUAAUGAUUUAAUGAUGAUUUUUAAAUCAAUGCCAACAAUCCAGUGUCUCCUGCUGUGGUGCUGCUGGCUAAAAGGAAUAAUAGUGGAAAUCAUUAACACACAGCUGCUGUUACAAGUGAAACUAUCUGAGAAACAAACAGUCGAUACUCUAAUAGGAUGAUUACAUGGAUGAGUGUGUGUGCAGGAGUUUGUUUGAGCUGGCAAACUGGAAACAAUGAAUCAUGGCCGUGUGUUGUGUUGUUGUGUGACCAGACCUGUGAAAACUGAUUGAACUUUACACAUCUACUGUACUUGUUUAUGUGACUCUGCAAUGGGAGACAGGUUUUAACUCAAGGUGCAGCUGAGGAGAUUGUUUCUAUUACUGUUCACAGAUAUCCAGGUUUACCUUUUAUGUGUUUUUUAUGUGUGUUGCUAUUUUACUGAUUUAUGUGCAUGUGUUAUUAACUGAUUUUAUCAGUUUGUCAAGUCCAUUAAUAAUGAACAGAGGAUGAAAUGUAAUUUGAAGGUGUCAUUACAUGUUGUUGUCAGAAUAAUAACACAAUUGAAUAAAUUGUGAGUGAAACUCUGGAUCUCUCUUUAACUGAGACCAGAGCAAAGGUCAGACAUGACCAGCAUGAAUUUCGUCUCUGUUAUAAUGAAACACUCCUCCCUGUUCUGUUCUGGUUUCAAUCAUAUCCAGGACCUGAUAUGUGAGAACAUGAUUAUUAACUCAGUUAUUGUUUAUCAACGCAGAAAUUAUUAGAAGUUUACAAUUUAUCAUUGAGUCAGAAACAAAUAAAACCAAAAACUUACAAAACA